rnacentral:rRNA from 1 species
UCCUACGGGAGGCAGCAGUGAGGAAUCUUGCGCAAUGGGCGAAAGCCUGACGCAGCCACGGCCGCGUGCCGGAUGAAGGCCCUAUGGGUUGUAAACGGCUUUUAAGCAGGAAGAACGACCGGAUUUCGAUCUGGUGUGACGGUACUGCUUGAAUAAGCACCGGCUAACUCCGUGCCAGCAGCCGCGGUAAUACGGAGGGUGCAAGCGUUGUCCGGAAUCAUUGGGUGUAAAGGGUGCGUAGGCGGGCGUCUAAGUCUGGGGUGAAAUCUUGCCGCUUAACGGUAAAAUGGCCUUGGAUACUGGGCGUCUUGAGUGUAGAAGAGGUAAGUGGAAUUCGUAGUGUAGCGGUGAAAUGCAUAGAUAUUACGAAGAACAUCAGUGGCGAAGGCGGCUUACUGGUCUACAACUGACGCUGAGGCACGAAAGCGUGGGGAGCGAACAGGAUUAGAUACCCUGGUAGUCCACGCUGUAAACGAUGCAUACUAGGUGUUGGCCUUUCGGGGCCAGUGCUGCAGUUAACGCAUUAAGUAUGCCACCUGGGGAGUACGUCGGCAACGAUGAAACUCAAAUGAAUUGACGG